rnacentral:tRNA from 1 species
UCUCUUAUAGCUCAGUUGGUAGAGCAAACGGCCGUUAACCGUUGUGUCGCAGGUUCGAGUCCUGCUGGGAGAG